ensembl:misc_RNA 7SK 7SK RNA
AGAUAUGAGAGCUAUCUGGCUGUGACAUCUGUCACCCCACUGAUCGCCAGGGUUGAUUCGGCUGAUCUGGCUGGCUAGAUGGCUGUCCCCUUCCUCCCUCACCCCUCCAUGUGUGUCCCUCCCAAAGCUGCAUGCUCGGUCGAAGUGGACAACCAUCCCCAAUAGAGGAGGACCGGUCUUUGGUCGAGGGUAUAUGAGUAGCUGCACUCCUCUGCCAGAACCUCCAAACAAGCUCUCAAGAAUACACACAUAAGCAGUUAGUAUAGACAGUUGCUAUUACAUUCAUAAGUUUGUUCUGUAAUCAUAAGGUUUUUAU